AGCCCUCUGUAUCCGUGCGGAGAUUUCGUCAGAGAUCAACCCGUGGGGGAUGAUGGUACUUCCUAGAUAAGUGAAGCG
rfam:Trichobilharzia regenti genome assembly, scaffold: TRE_scaffold0114356